UACGAAGGGGGCUAGCGUUGCUCGGAAUUACUGGGCGUAAAGGGUCCGUAGGCGGUGUGGCAAGUCGGGAGUGAAAUCUCUGGGCUUAACUCAGAGGCUGCUUCCGAAACUGCCGUGCUAGAGUGUGAGAGAGGCGAGUGGAAUUGCGGGUGUAGCGGUGAAAUGCGUAGAUAUCCGCAGGAACAUCCGAGGCGAAAGCGGCUCGCUGGAUCACAACUGACGCUGAGGGACGAAAGCUAGGGGAGCAAACAGG
rnacentral:rRNA from 1 species